rnacentral:rRNA from 2 species
UUGGAGGGCAAGUCUGGUGCCAGCAGCCGCGGUAAUUCCAGCUCCAAUAGCGUAUAUUAAAGUUGUUGCAGUUAAAAAGCUCGUAGUUGAAUUUCGGGAUCAAUUUGUUGGUCGUGCCUCGGUACGUACUGGCAUUAUUGGUUUCUACCUUCUGAAGAACCUUGAUGUCAUUAAUUUGGUGUCUUGGGGAAUCAGGACUGUUACUUUGAAAAAAUUAGAGUGUUUAAAGCAGGC